rnacentral:rRNA from 1 species
UACGUAGGGUGCUAGCGUUGUUCGGAAUCAUUGGGCGUAAAGCGCGUGUAGGCGGUCAGGCAAGUCGAAUGUGAAAUCCCUGGGCUCAACCGAGGAAGUGCAUACGAAACUGCUUGGCUAGAAGACGGUAGAGGAAGGUGGAAUUCCUAGUGUAGAGGUGAAAAUUCGUAGAUAUUAGGAGGAAUACCGGUGGCGAAGGCGGCCUUCUGGGCCCGAUCUUGACGCUGAGACGCGAAAGCGUGGGUAGCAAACAGG